CCAGACUCCUACGGGAGGCAGCAGUGAGGAAUAUUGGUCAAUGGGCUUACGCCUGAACCAGCCAAGUCGCGUGAGGGAAGACUGCCCUAUGGGUUGUAAACCUCUUUUGUCAGGGAGCAACGCCGGCUACGUGUAGCCGGACUGAGAGUACCUGAAGAAAAAGCAUCGGCUAACCCCGUGCCAGCAGCCGCGGUAAUACGGAGGAUGCGAGCGUUAUCCGGAUUUAUUGGGUUUAAAGGGUGCGUAGGCGGAAUGCAAAGUCAGGGGUAAAAUCGCGGGCCUCAACCUCGCUCCGCCGUUGAAACUGGCGUUCUUGAGUGGGCGAGAAGUAUGCGGAAUGCGUGGUGUAGCGGUGAAAUGCAUAGAUAUCACGCAGAACUCCGAUUGCGAAGGCAGCUUACUAAACUAUAACUGACACUGAAGCACGAAAGCGUGGGGAUCAAACAGGAUUAGAUACCCGUGUA
rnacentral:rRNA from 1 species